AAGGCAUUAAUUUUGCAAGAUUUCAUGUCUCUCAGAAAAAAAGAUGAGAAAACAUACCAAGGCACUACAUGGCAGAUUAAGUUUAAUCUAGACAUGGUCAACCCACGUGGAACAUAUAACUUGAGAUUGGCUCUUGCAUCUGCAACUCAAGCCAAAUUAGAGGUCAGCACGUGCAUUUUUCAUCUUAUCGCCGAAUUACAUCAUAUAUUGAGAAUGAUGAAUAAUGCUAUUUAUGAACAUUUGUAGGUUCGAGUGAACAUUUCAGACCAUAAUCCACCACUAUUUUCGAGCGGCAUAAUAGGAAAUGAUAACGCAAUAGCGAGAUACGGGAUUCAUGGUCUCUAUUGGCUCUUUAAUGUGGACAUAAGAGGUACUCUACUCGUUCGAGGGAACAACGCAAUUUAUUUGACACAAGCAAAUGCCACAAGCCCUUUCCAAGGGAUCAUGUAUGAUUAUAUUCGUUUAGAAGGCCCACAGCGUUGAUUUGUCUCUAAAUUGAGGGAAGAUUCAAACUUUAUUUAUACUUCAGAAUUAAUGUCACCUUCUUAAUAAUGAAAUUUUUAAUUUGAAGACAGAUU
rnacentral:lncRNA from 1 species